rnacentral:rRNA from 1 species
GUCGAGCGAAUGGAUUAAGAGCUUGCUCUUAUGAAGUUAGCGGCGGACGGGUGAGUAACACGUGGGUAACCUGCCCAUAAGACUGGGAUAACUCCGGGAAACCGGGGCUAAUACCGGAUAACAUUUUGAACCGCAUGGUUCGAAAUUGAAAGGCGGCUUCGGCUGUCACUUAUGGAUGGACCCGCGUCGCAUUAGCUAGUUGGUGAGGUAACGGCUCACCAAGGCAACGAUGCGUAGCCGACCUGAGAGGGUGAUCGGCCACACUGGGACUGASACACGGCCCAGACUCCUACGGGAGGCAGCAGUAGGGAAUCUUCCGCAAUGGACGAAAGUCUGACGGAGCAACGCCGCGUGAGUGAUGAAGGCUUUCGGGUCGUAAAACUCUGUUGUUAGGGAAGAACAAGUGCUAGUUGAAUAAGCUGGCACCUUGACGGUACCUAACCAGAAAGCCACGGCUAACUACGUGCCAGCAGCCGCGGUAAUACGUAGGUGGCAAGCGUUAUCCGGAAUUAUUGGGCGUAAAGCGCGCGCAGGUGGUUUCUUAAGUCUGAUGUGAAAGCCCACGGCUCAACCGUGGAGGGUCAUUGGAAACUGGGAGACUUGAGUGCAGAAGAGGAAAGUGGAAUUCCAUGUGUAGCGGUGAAAUGCGUAGAGAUAUGGAGGAACACCAGUGGCGAAGGCGACUUUCUGGUCUGUAACUGACACUGAGGCGCGAAAGCGUGAGAGCAAACAGGAUUAGAUACCCUGGUAGUCCACGCCGUAAACGAUGAGUGCUAAGUGUUAGAGGGUUUCCGCCCUUUAGUGCUGAAGUUAACGCAUUAAGCACUCCGCCUGGGGAGUACGGCCGCAGGCUGAAACUCAAAGGAAUAGACCGCG